CCUGUCACUAGCAGCUCUGUGGUGAUGGCCCUUGUGCCACAUCUGCAUUAGUAGGUGGCAGAGAGGAGAAAGGCCAUGUCUAUGCUCAGGGUUCUGACUAUGAACAUCUGAAUAAUUAGUAGCCUACCAUU
ensembl:snoRNA